UUUCCUGUGGCUCAGUCAGUAGAGCAUUGCGCUAGCAAAGUAACGAUCAUGCGUUCGAACUCCAUGGAAAA